UACGUAGGGUGCGAGCGUUAAUCGGAUUUACUGGGCGUAAAGGGCGCGUAGGCGGCGUGGUAAGUCACUUGUGAAAUCUCCGAGCUUAACUCGGAACGGUCAAGUGAUACUGCUGUGCUAGAGUACAGAAGGGGCAAUCGGAAUUCUUGGUGUAGCGGUGAAAUGCGUAGAUAUCAAGAGGAACACCUGAGGUGAAGACGGGUUGCUGGGCUGAUACUGACGCUGAGGCGCGAAAGCUAGGGUAGCAAACGGG
rnacentral:rRNA from 1 species